AGAGUUUGAUCCUGGCUCAGGACGGACGCUGGCGGCGUGCCUAAUACAUGCAAGUAGAACGCUGAAGAGAGGAGCUUGCUCUUCUUGGAUGAGUUGCGAACGGGUGAGUAACGCGUAGGUAACCUGCCUUGUAGCGGGGGAUAACUAUUGGAAACGAUAGCUAAUACCGCAUAACAAUGGAUGACACAUGUCAUUUAUUUGAAAGGGGCAAUUGUUCCACUACAAGAUGGACCUGCGUUGUAUUAGCUAGUAGGUGAGGUAAUGGCUCACCUAGGCGACGAUACAUAGCCGACCUGAGAGGGUGAUCGGCCACACUGGGACUGAGACACGGCCCAGACUCCUACGGGAGGCAGCAGUAGGGAAUCUUCGGCAAUGGGGGCAACCCUGACCGAGCAACGCCGCGUGAGUGAAGAAGGUUUUCGGAUCGUAAAGCUCUGUUGUAAGUCAAGAACGGGUGUGAGAGUGGAAAGUUCACACUGUGACGGUAGCUUACCAGAAAGGGACGGCUAACUACGUGCCAGCAGCCGCGGUAAUACGUAGGUCCCGAGCGUUGUCCGGAUUUAUUGGGCGUAAAGCGAGCGCAGGCGGUUUGAUAAGUCUGAAGUUAAAGGCUGUGGCUCAACCAUAGUUCGCUUUGGAAACUGUCAAACUUGAGUGCAGAAGGGGAGAGUGGAAUUCCAUGUGUAGCGGUGAAAUGCGUAGAUAUAUGGAGGAACACCGGUGGCGAAAGCGGCUCUCUGGUCUGUAACUGACGCUGAGGCUCGAAAGCGUGGGGAGCGAACAGGAUUAGAUACCCUGGUAGUCCACGCCGUAAACGAUGAGUGCUAGGUGUUGGAUCCUUUCCGGGAUUCAGUGCCGCAGCUAACGCAUUAAGCACUCCGCCUGGGGAGUACGACCGCAAGGUUGAAACUCAAAGGAAUUGACGGGGGCCCGCACAAGCGGUGGAGCAUGUGGUUUAAUUCGAAGCAACGCGAAGAACCUUACCAGGUCUUGACAUCCCGAUGCUAUUUCUAGAGAUAGAAAGUUACUUCGGUACAUCGGUGACAGGUGGUGCAUGGUUGUCGUCAGCUCGUGUCGUGAGAUGUUGGGUUAAGUCCCGCAACGAGCGCAACCCCUAUUGUUAGUUGCCAUCAUUCAGUUGGGCACUCUAGCGAGACUGCCGGUAAUAAACCGGAGGAAGGUGGGGAUGACGUCAAAUCAUCAUGCCCCUUAUGACCUGGGCUACACACGUGCUACAAUGGUUGGUACAACGAGUUGCGAGUCGGUGACGGCGAGCUAAUCUCUUAAAGCCAAUCUCAGUUCGGAUUGUAGGCUGCAACUCGCCUACAUGAAGUCGGAAUCGCUAGUAAUCGCGGAUCAGCACGCCGCGGUGAAUACGUUCCCGGGCCUUGUACACACCGCCCGUCACACCACGAGAGUUUGUAACACCCGAAGUCGGUGAGGUAACCUUUUGGAGCCAGCCGCCUAAGGUGGGACAGAUGAUUGGGGUGAAGUCGUAACAAGGUA
rnacentral:rRNA from 1 species